rnacentral:lncRNA from 1 species
CCGUGUCCAUCCAUACGACUCGUACCAAACAAAUCAUACCCAUUCCAAAACCCAAUCCAACCCACCAACCAAUACUGGUCAGCAUACUACCAAGACAUACCACUCGUACCCUAGUAUAUGAUUGGUACCCACCUGUUAUAUGUUGUCCAGAACCCAGAAAUCAAGAAAAUUUUCUAAGGGUCCCAAACCCAGGGUGUUUCAG